UUGGUUUCCACCUCAUGCAGUUUUCUCUACUUCUAGCUAAAGUUGUUUGAUCCACUGUAAGGUGAAGUAUCCAGCAGGUCUCAUUGCUUGAUCGGUCCAGCAGUUCUGGAUCAUGCUCAGAAUUCAAAGGUUAUAAGGGAUUAGCUUUGCUGGAUACCUGGAGGAGUCACCUGAAGGAAGAUGAAGGCAGCCCCUGUAGAAUCCCAUCUCUGUU